UCUCCCACGAGCUAGUAUUGGCAAGAAACCUAGCUCAUCAGUCAUCACGUAAAUAAAUUAAAACCAACAAGUCAUACGAUCUCCAUCCAUCUCACACGAUGCAGCGCGGCGCCGCCACUGCCAUGCCCACGCUCUUGAUGACCAUCUUCCUCGUGGCUCUCGUAUCCGGUGGCCGGGUAGCGUCGCAGCCGCAGCCGCAGGAGGCGCCAGCGCCGGCGCCGGAGGGCACCGGGAGCAGUAGCGGCGCCUGCACCGCCGUGCUAGCCAAGCUGGCGGACUGCGUGCAGUACGCCACCGCGGGCAGCCCGCUGAGGCAGCCGCCGGGGAGCUGCUGCACCGAGGUGGAGCGCGGCGUGAAGGACCCCGCCGCCGUCGGCUGCGUCUGCACCCUCCUCGCCGGCAACACCUACGGCCUCCCUCUCAACCUCACGCGCGCCGCUGGCCUCCCCGCCGCCUGCGGCGCCCCGCCCACCGCCCUCAGCAACUGCAAUGGUACACACAUGUCUUGAAUGCAUGUUACGUUUUCCCUUUAAUUUCUUCCUGUUUUUUAUAUAUAAUCUAUUCUUUUCAUAAUAUAAGUUGUUUUGACUUUCUUUUUUAUCAAUCUUUGUUAAAUUUAAUUAAGUUUAUAGAAAAAAAAUAGUAAUAUUUGGGCCGGUUUGUUUGGCAGAGCUCUAAAUCUGAUACGAAAUUAGAAUUAAUUAUAUUCUUUAGUCCCAGUUCCUAUUCAAACGGGGACAAAUGUGAUUUUUGGCAUAGUAGUGUAUAAAGAUGGAAAUGCAUGCUUUAAAUUUAAAUCUCUAUUUUGGUCCUCGUCGUUUUAUGCAGUGCCUUCACCAAAAGGUGGAGACAGAUCUGGUUCAUCACCCAAGUCCGCGGUCACUCCAGCCCCGAUCACAAUAGUCGUCUUCGUCGCCACAGUAGCAGCUGUCUUCUGCUACCUCUAA
rnacentral:lncRNA from 1 species